rnacentral:rRNA from 1 species
AUACGUAGGGGGCGAGCGUUGUCCGGAAUUACUGGGCGUAAAGGGCGCGUAGGCGGUCUAAUAAGUCAGAUGUGAAACCCCUGGGCUUAACCCUGGGCUUGCAUUUGAAACUGUUGGACUUGAGGGCAGGAGAGGAAAGCGGAAUUCCCAGUGUAGCGGUGAAAUGCGUAGAUAUUGGGAGGAACACCAGUGGCGAAGGCGGCUUUCUGGACUGCACCUGACGCUGAGGCGCGAAAGCCAGGGGAGCGAACGGGAUUAGAUACCCCGGUAGUCCUGGCCGUAAACGAUGGAUACUAGGUGUGGGAGGUAUCAACCCCUUCCGUGCCGGAGCAAACGCAAUAAGUAUCCCGCCUGGGGAGUACGGCCGCAAGGCUGAA